GGAGAGGUGGCAGAGUGGUCGAAUGUACCUGACUCGAAAUCAGGCGUACGGGUAACCGUACCGAGGGUUCGAAUCCCUCCCUCUCCGCCA
rnacentral:tRNA from 2 species